rnacentral:lncRNA from 1 species
GCUGCCCAGCAGACAGGGACAAGGAGUGUGCCCACAGCUCUGGGGCAGGCACAGCUGUCCUAGGGACUGGAAGCACCUGCUGAGCUCGUACAAUAAAGGCCGCUUGGGAAGGCUGAAGAAAUCCAGUUGUGUGAACUCAACGAAUGAUUAGAGGAGAAAGAAAAAGAGCCUGCAAAACCCACGGGCAUUUUAGGGACCGACCAUCCGCUUGGAGUCAACUCUAUCCCAUAAUGAACGAAGUAAAUAUUCCGUCCCAGCCUGAGGACUCUCGGCAUCUUGGCAUCUUGGGGUCUGCGUUACAUCAAAGGGAAAGGAUGAAGCAUUUUGACAACUUUAAACACCAACAGCAGCGCCUAUUCAAGGAAAACCACAGAGGGGUUGCCUCCCCUACCCAGAACGCCGAUUCUGUUUUCUAGGAAUUACUACUUCUUUUUAUUAUUAUUAUUAUUAUUAUACUUUAAGUUCUAGGGUACAUGUGCACAACGUGCAGGUUUGUUACAUAUGUAUACAUGUGCCAUGUUGGUGUGCUGCACCCAUCAACUCGUCAGCACCCAUCAAUUCGUCAUUUAUAUCAGAAACGUUUGGAGUCUAUUAAUCUGCUGCUCACUUUCGAAAAUGCCAUCAGCCUCUUUCCGUGUGAGGCAAACCACAAGUCAUCAGUGUCACAGCAAAACAAAAACAGACACACAACAGAAGAAACCACGCUGGUGAGGUCAGCAGGGGACAGGGAGACCCUCCCUGCAGGAGCUGCUGCUAGAGGGAAAGGCAGCGUUGGAUCCGAUGCCGGCCCCAGCCUGGGAGACCUGCUUCCUCUGCGGCCUGUGUUCAGGAGCGAAGUGUUGAGACCAGAAUUGUUCGGAUGCAGGGCUGGUCCCUGUUGAUUUAUGACUCAGGUGGAAGAUAGCGGAGACUAUGCAGGGAGGCUCAGCUGCACCUGACACACAACAGAGGUUCUCCAGGAACAGGAGAUGAAUGAGUACAAAAUCAAAGAGGCACACUUGCCAGCUUCCUCUUUCUACGUCCUCCUGGGCAUAUCCAGCCUUCAUCAUGAAGUCGUGUCUAUUUUCCACUUGCACACUUUCCUGGAAGACUCUUGGACAGCGUAUCAAGAUCUCUCAUUUUCUGGCUUGAACUCACUGC